rnacentral:rRNA from 1 species
AUGUCGCCGGCACCUGACCUAGCUGCUGCUCUGCUCCCUACACAACUCGAGAAGAAGAAGAGGAAGGAAAGCAGCCGCGUUGGAUCAAGCGCACCGCAGCAUACGUGCCACGCAAGGGUUGCCGGAGGAGAGAGGAUGGGGCGCGGGAGGGUGGAGAUCAAGCGGAUCGCCAACGACGUCUCGCGGCGGGCCACCUUCGGCAAGCGCAGCGCCGGGCUGCUCAAGAAGGCGCGGGAGCUCGCCGUGCUCUGCGACGUCGACCUCGGCGUCCUCGUCUUCGACGGCGCCGGCGCCGGCAGGCAGCUCGACUACUGCAGCCCCAACACCAGUUGGAGUGACUUAAUCGAGCGCUACGAGAGCAUAAAUCAUGGUGAAUAUCAGAAACUGUUGGCGGAUAUCGCAACGUUGAGGCAUGAGCGUGACCACCUGGAGGCCAGCGUGAGGAGGCAGGCCGGAGAAGACCUGCCCUCCGGCGCAACCGCGGCAGAGCUCCGCGAUCUGGAGCACAAGCUAGAGUGUGCACUGGGAUAA